rnacentral:antisense_RNA from 1 species
ACACGAAGAGCACCACACAGAGCGGCAGGUAGAAGGCGCCUACGGUGGAGAACACGGCGUAGGAAGGCUCGCGGCUUACCUGGCACUCCUCGCUGCCCUCAGAGUACGUCUCUCCCCAGCCAAAAAGCAGCGGGGCCAGAGAGAUGACAGCGGAGAGUGCCCAGGUGAGCGCGAUCAUGACGUUGGAGACGCACUUGCGGGUGCGGAGCGUGUAUUCCAUGUGGCGCGUGAUGGACCAGUAGCGGUCCAGGGCUAUGGCCGUCACGUUCCAGAUGCUGGCCGUGCAGCAGAGCACGUCACACGCGAUCCACAGCUGGCACAGCCUCCGACCCAGCUGCCAGCGGCGCCCGGACAGCUCGUGCACCAGGCUCAGCGGCAUGACCAACGCGGCCACCAGGACAUCCGAGAUGGCCAUGGACGCCACCAGGUUGUGGGGCACGCGGUGGAAGGUGCGUACACGGAGGAUGGUCGCCAGCACCAGCAGGUUCCAGGCGAACGUCGCCGCCACCAGAAAACCCAGCAAGGCAGCCGCUGCAGCCUUAACUCCGUG